rnacentral:rRNA from 1 species
UGGGGAAUAUUGCACAAUGGGGGAAACCCUGAUGCAGCGACGCCGCGUGGAGGAAGAAGGUCUUCGGAUUGUAAACUCCUGUUGUUGAGGAAGAUAAUGACGGUACUCAACAAGGAAGUGACGGCUAACUACGUGCCAGCAGCCGCGGUAAAACGUAGGUCACAAGCGUUGUCCGGAAUUACUGGGUGUAAAGGGAGCGCAGGCGGGAGAACAAGUUGGAAGUGAAAUCCAUGGGCUCAACCCAUGAACUGCUUUCAAAACUGUUUUUUCUUGAGU